rnacentral:rRNA from 1 species
GAUGAACGCUGGCGGCGUGCCUAAUACAUGCAAGUCGAGCGAACGGACGAGAAGCUUGCUUCUCUGAUGUUAGCGGCGGACGGGUGAGUAACACGUGGAUAACCUACCUAUAAGACUGGGAUAACUUCGGGAAACCGGAGCUAAUACCGGAUAAUAUUUUGAACCGCAUGGUUCAAAAGUGAAAGACGGUCUUGCUGUCACUUAUAGAUGGAUCCGCGCUGCAUUAGCUAGUUGGUAAGGUAACGGCUUACCAAGGCAACGAUGCAUAGCCGACCUGAGAGGGUGAUCGGCCACACUGGAAGUGAGACGCGGUCCAGACUCCUACGGGAGGCAGCAGUAGAGAAUCUUCCGCAAUGGGCGAAAGCCAGGCGGAGCAACGCCGCGUGAGUGAUGAAGGUCUUCGGAUCGUAAAACUCUGUUAUUAGAGAAGAAAAUAUGUGUAAGUAACUGUGCGCAUCUAGGCGGUACAUAAUCAGAGAGCCACGGCUAAAUGCG